AACUGCCUUUAUAAGACCAAACCUCCUCCAUCCAUAAACAUACUCAGCACUGAGAGCGCACUCAACACUGAGAGCACACUCAACACAGCGGCACCCAUGGAUUUUCUCAAAAGUUUGACUGGUGAUACUGACAUUGCAAAGGCAGCAGGUGAAUUCGUGGAGAGCGGGGUGAAAAGUUUCCUGGGUUCUGGAGAUGAGAAAGCCGAGGGAGCACCCAGUGCUGAAGGAGACGCCCCCAUCACUGAUGGCGAAAAGACAGAUGACGUUGCAGAAGAUAGCGGUGAAAAUAAAGCUGACGAUCAAAAAGAACCUGCCGAAAACGCCAAGCAGUAAGAAGGAAGAGGAGGUGAAUCAUUUAAACUGACUAAUGUGAAUAAUGUGGAAAAAAAAAUCAUGUAAUGUAAUGUAAUGUAAUGUAAUCUUAUCUUAUCUUAUCUUAUCUUAUCUUAUCUUAUCUUAUCAUAAAACAACACUAACUGGGCUGUGCUGUUAUCAGCUACUGCUGCUGCUGCUGCUUUCAACUUUGUGAGGAAAAAAACAAACAUUGCCUGCAACAUACAGUGGAAUUCUUUGAGGUUUUUUUUUUUUUUUACUAACAGUGAUAGUUGUGGGCCACAAUCUAAAGUGUUAGUGAAAAAUGUACUCCACAAUUUCCAACAGCCCGUGAUGAUGAUGUUAAAUUACCAGCUUUGUUGGUCAGUCUGACAUUCUUACAAUGCAGCCAGAGUGCAUUCUUUGUAUAAGAGGAGACCACAGAGUCUGCAGAGACCACCCAGCUAGGAGCAGUUAAUACUUAGGGAAUAAGUUGUAAUAACGACCCUAACACAAAUGUCAAGCUAUGUUUGCUGUUUGCAGCUAUGUUUUUAAGCAGCUGUUAAACUGAUCUGAUUGUCUUUGAUGUAUUUUGGUACAUAUUUUUAUUAUUAUCUCAUCUUUGUCUGCCAUGUUUUUCGGUGGUGGGAGUAAUGAAAGUUGUUGAAGGACUCUUCAGUUAGACAGCCUGCAGACCACAUCCAUCAACCUCAGAGAGGAGCAACUCCACCUGAACUGGUGUCAUAUGAAACAUGCACAACAUCAUAACUAAAUGUUUAAUUGAAUGUAACAAAUUUAUCAACUGUGCUGAGGAAAUCUGUGAAGCUUGUUAGACAAACUAUGAUGCAUUACUAAAAUGGUUUGACCUUAACCUAUAUGGUUAAAAAUAUCUAUAAAUCUUUAAUGCCACCUGGAGAUGACCAGUGUUUUCUGUGUCAUGAUUAAACAGUCAUUGUCAUAAAUUACAUGUACACCAGUGCAAAUCCUCUUCUGUAUUUUGGUGAAGACUGCUGAUGCCAACUAAACUGCUUCAGCAACAGCUGUUUUGUUUUUGUUGUAUUUAAUCUUCUUUCACUAAAUAUUCAGCACAAAAUUCAGGUUUAGAUUUCAUCAGUGGUGGAAUUUAAUAAAGUACAUUUACUGUCUACA